UGUGAACUCAGUGCUGGAGAAUAAAAUCACAAACUUUGAAUAUAUUAGAGAAGUAUUUUCAGAAAUUUCCAGAUGAAUCGUUUUGUCAAAGGAAAAAUUCUGUGUAUUUUAUUUUUUAAAAAAAUGCUCAACGCUGAUCAGUUAAGAGUUCAUUUUACUCUUGCAGAGGACCAGAAUUCAGUCCCCAAAACCCUGGUCAGGUGACUCACAACUAUUUGUAACUCUAUCUCUAGAGGAUCAUCUUCUGACCUUCAAGAAGGAAACCUGCACUCAUGUGCACGUAGCUGCUCUCUCUUCCUCUCUCUUUCUCUUUCAUGAGAGGAUUAAAGGUAAAAUAAAUAUAAAUUAGGCUUUUAGUAUUAUUGCGAUGGUAAGAUUUGCCCAAGUGACCAGAUUUGAAACCAUUAGAAGUCAUACAUCCCGGUGUGACGGUGAGAGAGGAUUUCCAGAAAGGUUGAUCUGAAGAGGGAAGAGCCACCCUGAAUGUGGGUGGCACCAUCCUGCUGGACUGAAUAGAGAGAAGAAAGGAGGUUGAGUGCCAGCAUUCGUCUGUCUCUCUUUGCUGACUUCAGACAUGAUGUGACCGGCCAUCUGAGGUCCUGCCUGGAUACUGUGAAGCGCUAUUCCCUCUCAGACCAUGAACCCAACUCUCCCAUCCUUCAGUCGCCUCUGUCUGCAAACCUUCCUUCUGCCGUGUGAGGCCAGAUCUGGGUGGUAAGGAUGGAGCUGCAGACCAUACUGCCAUCCAGGAAGAGAGCGUGCAGCCUGCAAUGAGCCUCCGCAUAACGUUUCGAAAUUUCUUCAACCUAAAAUGUGACACCAUCGUACCACAGAGGUGGCUACAAAGGUUGUAAAGCGUCACCUAAUUAUUCAGAUGAAAGGCAGGAACACUGUGCUGCUCAGGCACCACUGCACAAGGUCUGGAUUGGUAAGGUUCGGAUCAUCUGACAUUUCUACAAUGGGACAAAUAAGACUAUCUAUUCAUCGUGAGAGUCCUGAACGGCUUUGAUUUGCUCAUGGUUUUGAAUAAACUAAUAAUAGACCAAACAGUUUUGUUGCAUUCCAUUCUACAUCCGGACAGCUUCUCCCUGUGCCUUCCUUGAGUGAACACAGGAGGCUGUUGGAUAUACUGGCGCUGUCAUGCCAUUACUGUUAGCCGUUUUAGAAUACUAAAUGUGACAUUCAUGGCCUAGUGGCAUUAAUGCACCUUUCAAAAGUGCCCAGUUUUUUUUUUCUUGAAAGUAAUUUCAGCAGUGAUAGGCUACCACUGGGUAAUUUCUGAUAAGCAAUUAGCACAUAUCAAAUCAAGACAUAUUAUCCAAGGCUUUGUGCUGCCACUGCAGAUAUAGCAGGGGUUAGCCAUUAAAAACAUCAGUGAAAACUUCUGCUAUUAUUACGGGAGCAGUGGGCAAUAUUCAAAUGGAGACAACUGAACCAUUUAAACAAAUGUAUUUUUAAUCAUAAAAUGUCACUCCUCUUCAGACCCGUGUUUCCUAUUAAUGUGCUGGAGACAAUGUUAAUAAGAUUGGGGCGGCCUUCAGAGAGCAGCUGAAGUCUCAUUGUGAAGGACAGCGACGGAGAACACAGCAGUGCGGGACUCUGUAGCAUCACUGAUGGGAUGAGACUUGACAGGACCUAAGGUCGCCAGCCAACUGUCCAAGCAACAAAGAGACACUGAGAUGACAACGCAAAGGGGCUCCUAGCCUCACCCUCACCUUCCAUACGGGGGUGGGGGAGGACAAGGAUGCAGACCACACAGUGAAAAAGAAAGCUGCUGGGCGGCAGAAAUGUUUGCGAGUUGUAAACACAACAAGAGAAGGACAUCCCGAGCACAGAGAACUUCUGCAGCUCAGGAAUGUGGAAGCCUGGUCAGCAAACGGGAAAGGGGCUUGGACAGAUAGUCACCCAAAGAAAACGCAGACACGGCCGGCAAGUUCAUAAAGGUUGCUCACUAUCACGGAGCAUCAGAGAAAUGCAAAUCAAAGCCACAAUGAAACACAACCUGUUCUGGUUUCAUUUCUGCUGCUGUAAUAAACUACCCGGACAAGACGCAAAUCAGGAGACCAAGGGUUGACGUUGGCUUCCAAGUCUAGAUUAUAGACCAUAUAGACCACCGUUAGAGCGGACCUGCAGCAACAGAGCUUAGGGCUGUUGUCUGCAUGACACCCACAACCAAGAGCAGAGAGAAAUGCCUGCCUGCCUGCCUGCCUGCCUGCCUGCCUGCCUGUGCUCAAAUCCAUUUCCCUAGGCUUAUACAAUUCAGGAUGCCCUAUCGAAUGGUGCCAUCCACAGUGGGCUGGAUCUUCCCACAUCAAUUAAGUAAGACACCUCCUCCCAGGUUUGUCCACGGUCCGACUCGAAUUCGACUGUUCCUCAUUGCGAGUUUUUCACAGGUGAUCCAAGGUUGUGUCAAUUUGCAAUUAAAGCUAAGCAUCACACUACCUUGUAACCAUAGGAUGGCUGUUAUCUCUCUCACACACACACACACACACACACACACACACACACACACACACACUAUUCCUCUGGAGAGGCACAGUGGGACGGGACUGUGGGCAGUAGACUAAAGGAAAUAACAAUUAAUUGCAACCCAUGAUCUGAAUUUGGCUCCUUUGGACUUUGAACCCAAGGCUUUGUGAAUACACUCUACCAACUAAACGACAUCCCAGCCCCUGGUUUUGACCUUAUUCCAGAAUGGGAUGGUUGGGGCGGUUGGUGAAAAUCCUAGGGCGUGUGAGUUGGAAGGCAGGGGCAUCACAAUGCCGGCUUCUUGAUUUAUCAGGUGAUCGUGUGGUGUUGCUGCUUGAGAACCUAGGCACCGGUGCGUGCAGGGCUCAGUGGAGCAUCAUGUUGACUCCAUUUAGCCAAGGACGGAAACAAUGAGGAGAAAACACGGCACACGUCUGAAAACACCACAGUGGAACCCGUUAAUUUAUAUGCUGGUCUGAAAACUUCGUUAAAAAAUGAAAUGAAAUAAAAUAUUCAGAA